rnacentral:rRNA from 1 species
AUAUUGCACAAUGGAGGGAACUCUGAUGCAGCAACGCCGCGUGAGUGAAGAAGGUUUUCGUAUCGUAAACCCCUGUCAUUGGGGGAGAAUACAUGACGGUACCCACUGACGAAGCUCCGGCUAACUACGUGCCAGCAGCCGCGGUAAUACCUAGGGGGCGAGCGUUGUCCGGAAUUACUGGGCGUAAAGGGUACGUAGGCGGCUAUAUAAGUCAGGUGUGAAAUACCAGUGAGUAACACGGGAAUUGCAUUUGAAACUGUGUAGCUUGAGUGCAGGGGAGGAAAGUGGAAGUCCUAGUGUAGCGGUGAAAUGCGUAGAGAUUAGGAGGAACACCAGUGGCGAAGGCGACUUUCUGGACUGUAACUGACGCUGAAGUACGAAAGCGUGGGUAGCGAACA